CACUAAGGAGGGGCUCCUAACGGGCUUGGAGGCGCCUGGUGUUGAUUCCAGUGUUUGCGAAACAGAAGCAGAGGCAGAUGGAUCUCUGUGAAUCCAAGGCCUGCCAGUUACUCAUAGGGGUUCCUGGGUGCCGGGGUUAUGGCUGCCGUGUGGAGCUCUUAGGAUGAGCGCACUGCCAACCACGAUGCCCAUGCCCAUCAAGCCCACCACCAGGCCCAGGGCACAGACCGAAGUCUCCAUUGUCUCAGAUACCUGGACUGGCUCCUGCGUUUCUGAGGGAAAUGAACAGAUGCAGCUCAGAAUUCUUGACACCUCUGAGUCCAGAGAGAGCCGGAAGACUCCUACUGAGCAGCCUCAGUAGAGCUCAACCUCUCUUGGGUAAGAAGAGGAGACACCAGCCCCCGACUAUACAGCAGGGAGUCCAGGGCCGCUCCAAGGAGGGUCCCUCAGCAGAGGGCAUCUGUCGCCCAUUCUGAGUGUGGACCAGGGGUCCUCCCAUCGUUGUAUCUCUGGAUCAAGGCUCUCAGGUUGUUCUUCAGGCUGACGAUGUAGGGCAGAGCUUCCUGGGCGUCAAAUGCAUAAACCUUGCUGAACUCCCGGCAGGUCCCAGACCGUUUCCUCCCCGUGAAGAUCCACGUCGAACUGCUCAUCGCCAUCAGACGCGUACAUGCAUUCACCGGAUGGAUGUUGUGUCUGUACAAAUAUGUCAUACAUUGCUAUGUGUUCUGCUGUAGAAGCAAGAUAAAGAAAAAUGAGACCAAUAUAAGAACUAUUGUGUAAGUGGUAAGGCAGAGGAAUGGCUGGAUUUAUUAAUAAAGUCAGAAGAGGCCCAAAAAAAGGGGGAAUAGGGGAGGAGAAACAGCAGACAGGAGGCAGUGUGGGGUGUUGGGGAGAGGGAAGAAGAUAGAAUCUUCAGUCCAUCUGCCCCUGCCCACUCCCAGGUGGAACCCCAUGGAUCUGCAGGGAUCUGGGGCGGGGUUACAGAAGCCUCUGUUGAGCACUUGCUGAGUGCCAAGCCUGUUAAUAGGCUACAUGUUUGACGCAUAUUAAUGCUACAACAACCCUAGAUGCAACCAAGGAAAUACAGAGAAGGUCGGUGACUUGCCUCAGGUCACACAGCAAUGCACAGCUAGGAGAGAGACUUUCACCUCCCCACAGCUCCGGGUUCUAGGACUGCAGGUGUGAAAUUAGAUGUUUAAACUUGUGGAGGUGGCAGGGCAGGCAUGCUAGUGUCCUUAUUACAGAAAAGGUGGGAAGCUCGCUGCAUUGUAGUGAUACAGUUGUUGAGUUUCUGUGUUAGUUCAUACAUUUGCACCUGCAGCAUGUGCUAAUUCUGUGACUCUGUAUUUUUUUUUUAAUCUUAAGCAUAUUAAAUCUAACAGAAUGGAUUUUGACAAUGGUUUCAAAUUUUAUUUUUUUUUAAAUUUAAGUUGAUUUAAAGACCUUUUAAAAAUCUCUUUAAAAUAUUUGCUUUUGUUUUAAGUGGAAAUAUAGAAGU
rnacentral:lncRNA from 1 species